CCUACGGGAGGCAGCAGUGAGGAAUAUUGGUCAAUGGACGAGAGUCUGAACCAGCCAAGUAGCGUGAAGGAUGACUGCCCUAUGGGUUGUAAACUUCUUUUAUAAAGGAAUAAAACGAGGCACGUGUGCCUUUUUGCAUAUACUUUAUGAAUAAGGAUCGGCUAACUCCGUGCCAGCAGCCGCGGUAAUACGGAGGAUCCGAGCGUUAUCCGGAUUUAUUGGGUUUAAAGGGAGCGUAGAUGGGUUGUUAAGUCAGUUGUGAAAGUUUGCGGCUCAACCGUAAAAUUGCAAUUGAUACUGGCAUUCUUGAGUACAGUUGAGGUAGGCGGAAUUCGUGGUGUAGCGGUGAAAUGCUUAGAUAUCACGAAGAACCCCGAUUGCGAAGGCAGCUUACUAAACUGUGACUGACAUUGAUGCUCGAAAGUGUGGGUAUCAAACAGGAUUAGAUACCCGAGUAGUC
rnacentral:rRNA from 1 species